CACAAUUAGAUUACCUUUGAUUGCGUUUACCUAAACUAUGAAUUUGUCACAAUUUACUGUUACCAUUACUAUUACUGCUUAAUUUUAACAGUAAUGAUAACAGUAACAAUAGAUGUAACAAAUUUAUUAUUUUCCUACUGUGAAUGCAAUCUGCAGCCAUUGUGCCUAGAGUGUAGGUGCAUUAAGACGAGACAAAUCGAACCAACUCCAAAUUUGUUGGAAGGAUUACGAAAAAACCUGAAGCUUGGUUUAAAUUUUCAGGAGAAAAAUGGCCAAACCUUGACCCACAAAGAACGAUGCCUUCGUUGCUUCCUUCUCCAAGGUUCUUCAACUUCUGGAACCCACCUAGACCUCCCAUUGCUCUUCUUCCUCUUUCCCCUUCUUCGACAUCCACGCUUCCAUUUCUCUCUCUCACAGUCACACCCCACAGAAUCUUUCCAUCUGCCAUGGCUAUGUCCUUCUCUUCUUCCACUUCCACUCCCAAAACCCAGCUCGACCACGGCGAUCAAAACCUCUCGCAAGUCCUCAAAUACCACAACCAGACCAAGCACGGCUUCGCCAACUACGCCAGAGGCCCCCAUGGCCUCGAUUGGGCCAAUCAGCCCAACCCCUUCCGCCGCUACAUCUCUGCUCCUCUUCUUCCUCUUUCCCAUUUCCCAAUUCUCAACCAAACCGCCGCAUCAGACGAUGAACUCCAUGAAGCUCCUCUUUAUGAUUCUCUAUUCGUCUCGUUGCCUCCUCCAAAACCCAUCUGUAAAGCCACAAUUUCUCAAUUCUUCUACGACUCUUUGGCUCUUUCUGCUUGGAAAUCUACCGGGUUUUCCACUUGGUCGCUGAGAGUUAAUCCCAGUAGCGGGAAUUUGCAUCCGACUGAAGCGUAUUUGAUUGCUCCGCCUGUAAACUCGCUGUCAGAUUGUGGUUUCGUUGCGCAUUAUGCUCCUAAAGAGCACUCGUUGGAGAUUAGAGCUCAAAUCCCAUCUGGGUUUUUCUCUAAAUUCUUCCCUGAGAACAGUUUUCUUAUUGGGUUGUCGUCGAUUUUCUGGCGGGAGGCUUGGAAGUACGGCGAGCGAGCGUUUCGGUAUUGCAAUCACGACGUUGGCCACGCCAUUGCGGCGGUUGCCAUGGCCGCUGCAGGACUUGGGUGGGAUGUGAAGGUUCUUGAUGGAUUGGGCUAUGCUGAUUUGAAGAAGCUCAUGGGGCUGCACACAUUCCCUGAAUUCGAAGUUCCCUUGCAGCCGGUGAAGGGUUCGUUUCCAGUGAUUGAAUUCGAGCAUCCUGAUUGUGUGCUUGCUGUUUUCCCUAAUGACGCUGCCGACUUUUCCAUGAAUUACGAGGAGUUAAGCUCCGCAAUAAUGAAAUUCAGUGAGUUAGAAUGGAAAGGAAAGCCAAAUUUGCUCAGCAAACAGCACAUAUGUUGGGAUAUAAUUUACAGAACGGCCAUGGCCGUGGAGAAGCCAUUAACAAGCGAAAGUAGAUCUUUAGUUGAGCCAUUUCAGAGCAGUGGGGUUCUUGGUGAACGUAUAUACAAGGGUUUUACAGGGAGAGAAAUUGUGCGGAAGCGCAGGAGCGCAGUAGACAUGGAUGGUGUUACAACAAUGGCGAGAGACACAUUUUAUCAGAUUCUGUUGCAUUGUUUGCCUUCAGGUUCUGGAGAAGAGGAGAAGCAAAGGAGAGGAUUGGCAUUGCCAUUUCGUGCUCUUCCAUGGGAAGCUGAAGUUCAUGCUGCUCUGUUUGUUCACAGAGUGGUGGGAUUGCCACAGGGUCUGUACUUUUUUAUGAGAAAUGAAGAUCAUUUCGAUGAGCUGAAGAAAGCAACCAAUUCAGAUUUUAAGUGGGUGAAACCUGAUGGUUGUCCCAGUGGCCUCCCUCUGUAUGAACUACGGAGAGGCAAUUAUCAGCCACUUUCCAAGCGAUUGUCAUGUCAUCAGUGCAUGAAACGCUUGGGUUGAAAGGAUCAAACUUCCAGAGUCUAUAUCACUUCACUGUGGGAGGUCCUGUCUUAGACAAGCGAAUAAUGAGCCUACCAGCAUAUCCUGGGCCCAACGUUGAUGCUUAACUGCAAGGUUAUUUUCUAUCAUUGUAUAAUAUUUCAAAGCCUAGGCUUUCAUCCUCAUAAGCAGAGUCAUUUCACAAAAGGGAAAGCAAUUUGCUUCUUCCGAUAAUAAAAGCAGACUUCUUCUGCAGAUAACAAGUAUUCUCAUUAUUCUAGCUUAGGCUGAGGUGUAAAAAUUUAAAUAAUGGUCAAUCUAGAAAAUCACUUGAUCAGGAGCUGCUUCAUUCUACUGUAGAUUCUUGUCUUCCAUGGACAUGAGAGAGAGAAUACCAUUGUUUCUCAUAGUGCAGAAGCUUAUUCCACACACAAACACUCUCCUUAGAAGUUGGAUCAUAUAUACUCUCUACUUUUCCUUGCUUGUAUAUAUCAAAUGUGUUCUAUUAUAAGAAACCUUUCACAGGUUGCUAUACUUGGAAGUCAUUCGUGCAUUAGUUCUAUAAUGAUCCUUUCAGUGUAGUUAUCAAACACUUUUUUCACAACAAACCUAUUCCUUAAUGAUAAAAGCUUUUAUAUGGGAGGAAGCCAACAAAUCUCCUUAAUGUACAAUUGAAAAGAAUACAGAAAAGACGCCCCAGUUCACUACAAAACUCCUUGGAAAGGAUAUGCCAGGAGAAUGUCAGAAAAUGAAUAAAAUCUGGUGGUGAGUUAAAAGUACGUUCGUGACUUCUGAAGGUAUAGCAAGACUAGCAAGCUAAGAUUAUUUCUAGAUGUCUUUUCCAUCUCCCAAACAGAAUAGACUUCAAUGAUCUUAAGAGGCUGUCUAGAAUCAAGCUUGAAGACUUCAAAAAACUCACUCCAACUUCUUUCAAGGUCGACACCAAGCAUUCUACUGAGACAAAAUGGUUGAUGCAUUUUGCUAAUGAAGCCAUGCCUGUUCCAUUCAAAAAGUCACUAGAGAAGGGGGGCAAAGAAUCCAGCCAAGCCAAGAAAUUAAAAAGGAUACUCUUCAAGUCACCCCCAAAAAAAUCUCUGAAUAUAUUUCCUCCAAUGGAAGAUUAUCUGCCUGGUGUUUCAAAAUUUCCAGAAAAAAGACAGACAGUACUAUUCCACAGAAUCCUAGCUCGAUUUCUGAAGGGUGAAAAACCCAGGUGCUGUUUGAAACCACUCAAUGUAAACAACAAUGGAACUAGAAAUGCAGAACUUUGCUUGUAUUCUAA